rnacentral:rRNA from 1 species
GUGAGGAAUAUUGCGCAAUGGACGAAAGUCUGACGCAGCCAUGCCGCGUGAAGGAUUGACGGCCCUAUGGGUUGUAAACUUCUUUUGUAUAGGAAUAAACCCUCGUUCGUGAACGAGGCUGAAGGUACUAUAAGAAUAAGCACCGGCUAACUCCGUGCCAGCAGCCGCGGUAAUACGGAGGGUGCAAGCGUUAUCCGGAUUUAUUGGGUUUAAAGGGUCCGUAGGCGGAUCGUUAAGUCAGUGGUGAAAUCCUACCGCUCAACGGUAGAACUGGCAUUGAUACUGGCGAUCUUGAGUAUGUAUGAAGUUGGCGGAAUGUGUGGUGUAGCGGUGAAAUGCUUAGAUAUCACACAGAACACCGAUUGCGAAGGCAGCUGACUAAUACACAACUGACGCUGAGGGACGAAAGUGUGGGGAUCAAACAGGAUUAGAUACCCUGGUAGUCC